rnacentral:lncRNA from 1 species
GGCUGCCCCUCGGCCGGUGACCGAGUUAAGCACCGAGCUGUAAAUCGCUUGAGACCUGUAUUUGGUUGUUUUGUUGGUUUUGCCAAGUAAGGUCACUUGAGGAUUUCUUGGCUCGAGGUCCCAGGUUGCGCAGACUCUGACUGCAUCGAGUUGAGAAUUUUGGUCAGAAUGUUAAAGUGGAAACCUACCCCAGGCUGUCAUGAGAUGGGGUCCCACUAUAUUGACCAGGCUGGUCUGUAACUCCGGGCCUCAAGGGAUCUUCCCAACUCCACCUCUCAAAGUGCUGGAUUACAGCCUGAGCCACUGGACCUGGCUACUGUCCAUUCUUUGAUGAAGACAAAGUUUACCCUGAAAUCCUGUUCAGGGGCAAGAGAAAUUUCAAAAGCGAGGAUCUACCCUUAUACGGUUCACAGAUGAAUUAAGGAGUGCAGAUGUGCCCCAGGGCAGCUAGAGAACAAGCAAAAUCGGUCCUCAAGCAUUUUCUUGCUUUUCUCAAAUGUAAGAAGUCAUUUUUCAAUGCAAUCAUUCCAUCAAAGAAGGGAUAGUGUCUACUUUUGCUUCCCCCAUUAUGUCUUUGUAUAACUGAUAAAUUUCCAUAUAAUUUCAAACAUAUCUGUACAAUGAAAUGGAAAAUGAAUAAGGGGAGCUUUCUAUAGGUGCCUAUGGCAAAUCACUGUAUAAACCAGAGAGGGGAGAUCACUUAGAAUCAGAAAAUAGGACCUCCUCUGCCAUGCCUCACAAGGGAAAUAAAAAGAAUGAAAUUCCACGGAUUUUCAGAGGAAUGUGCUAGUAAUUAACCCAUUUAUGCCAGAGGUUGCAAAUUUUUUUUUUGUGAAAAAUCAGACCUUGGCAAUAACCUUGAUCAGUGAGAUAUAAAUAACUACCACAAGCUUAGUGUUCCAAUAAUGGAACACUAGGCAUAAAUAAGAAGCUAUAUACUAGAACUGUUCACCCCUGGCAUCCAAGGUCUGCUCUACCACUUCACACUCCAGAUGUGAUUUUAGACCAACUACCUUAGUAUAACAGACAUACUAGUAGUUAACAUGUAUGAUAAUUAUGAGGAUGAAAUGAACUAAUGCUUGUUAAAGCACUUAGCGCAGUGCUCAGCAUGCAGUCACUGCUCAAUCUGUAGGAGCUAUCAUUUCCAAUAAUGAGCAACCUCCCACCACUCAUUCUGUAAUUGAGAAAACCAAGGUUCAUAGGGUUAAAUGACUUGUCAGUUGAGUUUCUCCAGUUAGUUGGUGGGCUACAAGUCAGAAGAACCAACACAUGGGGGCUUUCAAGUACUUUUAGCUGCCUCAAUUGUACCUGUGAUGUAAAUCUAAAUUUUUACAUAUUGCUUUGCUCUCAAAGUAAAGUAAGAUCUCUGUCUCAUUUUUCUGUCUCCAGAAUCUAGCAUAUAGUAGGUACUUAAUAAAAGGACAUUAAAUUAGUGAAUUAUUGGCAAUAAAUAAAAAUGUGGAUGCUGAUAACAAUAUAUAAAGGAACUUACUGAAAGAAGCUUUAAGAUAAAUCUGAAAGAAAAUGGUGACUAUACAUUAGUUCUAAGGAUGCAUAAUGUUUCAGGGAAUAGAAUGUAGAAAUGAUCCAUGUUUGGGAGAUGGUACAGGUUGGGUAUCCCUUAUAAGAAAUGCUUGGAACCAGAAGCAUUUCAAUUUUUUUGAUUUUGGAAUAGUUGCAUAUUUACUAGUUGAGCAUUCCAAACCCAAAAAUCUGAAAUUGGAAAUGCUCCAAUGAGCAUUUCCUUUGAGUGUCAUAUCGAUCCUCAAAAAGUUUCAGAUUUUGGGUGGAACAUUUUGAAUUUUGGACUUUAUUUGGGAUGCUUCAACCUGUAAAAGGAUUCACUUAAAACAGAAUGUUGUAUGAUAAAGUAGUGUAAAAUUGUAUACAUAACACUGAAGUAAAUUGAGUAAAAAUUAAAAAUAUGUAUUUGUCUUAUGGAUAUAAUAGAUGAUUUUUGUCUUUAUACUUUCCAUGUGUCUUCAUAUACCAUUCCAUGAGCCUGGCAGUAUUAGGUUAAGAAAGAAAAACCUCAACAAAUGGCAUGAGGGUGAUAAGAGAUCUGGUACAAAGAGGAAGAAUACAUUAAUUACACUAGUUGGAAAUUUAGGUUAAUUCAAAAGGGACCACUGUAGGUGUGUGACAUUAAAACAGUGUUUAUGGAAUCCUAAUCGUGAGGCUGUGUGAAGGACUGAAGGGAGCUGAGUAGGACAGGGACUCUUGAUGUACAUGUAAAAAGUGAUGAGGCCCUGAUGUAGUUUUAUGGAUUUAGAAACAAAUUCUGAUUAAGAGUUGAUAGGAAAAAAAAAUUCAUCUAAGAAUUUAAAGCUUGGAGACCAAGAUGAUAUUGGUGUCUAUGACACUGAUGAAGUAAAGAUGUUGGAGAGGAGAUACUGGGAGGGAAGAUGAUGGGAUCAAGUUUUCAAUUUUGUAUUUCAGAUGUGGGAAGACCUCUAAGCAGGAAGAGACACAGGUAACUGUAAAUACAGGACUGAAGAAAACAGAUUAACCUGCUCAAGCUAAUUUCAGAAGGUUUAUACACCCAAGAAAAGUCAUUCAAACAAGCCUUAAGGUUAUUCAUAUACUACUCAAAUGUGGAAUCCCUAUUUCCUUUAAACGUGUAAUACAAUUAUAUUUUCUUUAAUAUUAAUUUUGCUUCCUCCUUAGAAGGAAACCUACUUAUCUGUAAAUUACAUUUCAAAUCUAAUUAUCCUGUCAAUUUGCAGAUGGCUUAAUAAAGAAAAACAAUUGCAUGCCAGAUUUAAUCUGACUCUUUGGAUCUUUUGUAAUUUCAGUUAAGAUAUUACAUAGAGUGGUUACAAUAGCACAAUACUGGAAUAAAACAAAUGAAGGAUCUUUUUUUUAGUGGAAGAGGAAAAUAUAAGACACAAUGAAAACAACCCAGCUUAAAAGCCCUCAAAAUUAAGGUUACAGGAAAAAGGGAAAAUCAGGUGAAAUGUAUAGGUAUUUAAUUAGUCUUUGGAGUGGUAUAAAAGCUUAUUCUUUUUAAAAGUUGUAACAAACAUUGGCAACACUCCACUCUAUCUCACUGCUAUUCUUGCUUUAUCAGAAAGCUAUCUUUGAAACCUCUUGGCUAGGAAGGUGACAAUUCCUCUAGGUUUCCAUUAUAACUUCAUGCCUAAUGUCAUAUUUACAGCACUGCAUUAUGACUAUUAUUAAUACUAUUAUUGUAAAAGCCUCCUUAUUAGUCUUUCUAGUUCUGCCCUUGUCCUACUGUAGUUUCAACACUAUAGUCAAAACAACGUUGUGUCUGAUCACGUGAAUACCCUGGUCAAAAUCCUCCACUGUCUUCUCAUUUCACGUGGAGUAAAAGCCACAGUAUGGCCUAUUAUGCCUUACGUCACUCCAUACCACCUAUAGGCCCCUUAGGAUUAACUAUCCGACCUUAUCAACUCUUCCCUUUGCUCUCUCCAUCCAGUCAUAUUGGCUCCUUUAUGUUCAUCAGAUUUAAUAGGCAUGUUCCUGCCUCAGCGUAUCUUCUUGGAACACUCUUCUCUCCAUAGUCAUCUCCUCUGGGCCAUGCUGAAAUGUCAGCUGAGUGCCCCAAAUGAAAUAACACUCAGUGCCCUCCCCCUCCACUCCCUAUUUCUUUUAUCCAAUUUUGUUUUUUCUCCAUUACACUUAUAUCUGACAAUAUAUUGUCAUGUUUACUUGCUUAUAGUGUCUUCUUUUCCACCAGAAUGUAAGUAAGCUCCAUGGAGGCAAGGGACUUUUUGUUCAGUGCUAUAUCCUGAGUGCCUGGCACAGAAUUCAAUGAAUACUUAUCAGAUAAAUGAAUAAUCUGUUCAAGUGUAGUUCAUACUGAAAAGAUUUGGAAUCUUGAGAUCUCUGGAACAUAAUAUAUACUGAAUAAAUAUUUAUGAAUUAAAAGGUAAAGAUGGCCAAAUCUUACACUGAAAAUACAUAAAAAUUAAAAAAGGGUAAAAAUAUGCAUCCACACAUUAAUAUCU